ensembl:lncRNA
CAGAGAGGUCUGCAGCAUCACAUGACCACAGAGAGGUCUGUAGCAUCACAUGACCACAGAGAGGUCUGUAGCAUCACAUGACUACAGGAGGUCGGCAGCAUCACAUGACCACAGAGGUCUGCAGCAUCACAUGACCACAGAGAGGUCUGUAGCAUCACAUGACCACAGAGAGGUCGGCAGCAUCACAUGACCACAGAGGUCUGUAGCAUCACAUGACCACAGAGAGGUCUGCAGCAUCACUCGACCACAGACUGACUAGAUGUGUGGAUGAAAUAAGACGGAUGAUGCGUUUGUGAUGCGGUUGCGGAUAAAAUAAUAACCCAUCCGCGCAUCUCUAGUGUGUUUGUUUUAUGUGUAUGUGUGUGAGUGUAUAAUGUGUGUGUGUGUGUGUGUGUGUGUGUAUAAUGUGUUUGUGUGUGUGUAUGUGUGUGUAGUGUACCACAUGAAGGCGGACGGCUGGGUGAAG